rnacentral:rRNA from 1 species
CCGGCCUGAGAGGGCGACCGGCCACACUGGGACUGAGACACGGCCCAGACAGAUCCCUACGGGAGGCAGCAGUGGGGAAUAUGGCACAAUGGGCGCAAGCCUGAUGCAGCGACGCCGCGUGAGGGAUGACGGCCUUCGGGUUGUAAACCUCUUUCAGCAGGGACGAAGCGCAAGUGACGGUACCUGCAGAAGAAGCACCGGCCAACUACGUGCCAGCAGCCGCGGUAAUACGUAGGGUGCGAGCGUUGUCCGGAAUUACUGGGCGUAAAGAGCUCGUAGGCGGU